GACGAACGCUGGCGGCGUGCCUAAUACAUGCAAGUAGAACGCUGAAGGAAGGAGCUUGCUCUUUCCGGAUGAGUUGCGAACGGGUGAGUAACGCGUAGGUAACCUGCCUGGUAGCGGGGGAUAACUAUUGGAAACGAUAGCUAAUACCGCAUACUAGUAGAUAUCGCAUGAUAGCUGCUUGAAAGGUGCAACUGCACCACUACCAGAUGGACCUGCGUUGUAUUAGCUAGUUGGUGAGGUAACGGCUCACCAAGGCAACGAUACAUAGCCGACCGGAGAGGGUGAUCGGCCACACUGGGAAUGAGACACGGCCCAGACUCCUACGGGAGGCAGCAGUAGGGAAUCUUCGGCAAUGGACGGAAGUCUGACCGAGCAACGCCGAGUGAGUGAAGAAGGUUUUCGGAUCGUAAAGCUCUGUUGUAAGAGAAGAACGAGUGUGAGAGUGGAAAGUUCACACUGUGACGGUAUCUUACCAGAAAGGGACGGCUAACUACGUGCCAGCCGCCGCCGUAA
rnacentral:rRNA from 1 species